GUCUAGCCAUUUCAACUGGGGCUUUCUGCAAGUUUUGGGACAUGCAUGUUCCCCUGUGGUAUCUCUUGAUUCUUCUGUUCCAGCGAAUGCUGAAACCUUGCCUACAUCGAGGCACAGCCAUGUGCAGGCGGUGGAAACUCUCCAGUCUCAAGGUUUAAGAGGUUCCAAUUGACUCGCAAGCCUCAAUGCAGGGACGUGGAUCAGGACUGGAGCAGCUGGGAGACACCUGUAAGACGAGCCUAGAUUUUAGGUGAGGUUGUGUCAUUUUAAACCUUUUCUGUUCUGCUCUCUUGCAUAAUAGACCUUUUAUCUCUUUUUGUGAUUUUUCAGGCUGACCCCAGGUACCUAAGCAGAGGUGUGUAGUUGGUAGCCAAAACUCAACUGGACAUACUGAAUCAAUGUGCACAGCAGAAUGAAAUAUUGCAGUCUGGAUGUCAAAACACACGCAACUGUUGAAUGAGGCAUUGACAGACUGGCACGGGCAGCCCUUUUUGUGUAACAGUUGCCCCUUUUAGAAAUAGCAUGCCUUGGUUUAGAAGUGAGAAACAAAUAGCCCUUAAUUUAUCGUGGAAUUGUUUACUUUAGUUCAAACGUCCAUAUGCAGAUGAUUCAACGACUUAUUCCAGUAUCUUGGUGGCGAGACUUUUUUCAAUUUUCAAAUUGUAUUUCUUUGUUUUUCAGAGAACAAACAAUGGGAAUGGAAACUUGCUGAAGCUGUAAUUAUCAACAUUGCUAUUUUCUGCACUUUAUUCAUCUCCCUAAUAAUUCUGUUUGCUCUCUCUGCAGAUGAACAGAUAAAUGUGCACUAGUUUCACUAGAAAGCAAUAGGAUUUUGCUGUUUAUCAUAGAAUCAAAGAAUCAUUAGUGUUGGAAGGGACCUUAAAGAUCAUCUAGUUCCAACCCCCCUGCCCUGGGCAGGGACACCUCCCACUAGAUCAGGUUGCUCAGAGCCCCAUCCAGCCUGGCCUUAAAAACUUCCAGGGAUGGGGCUUCCACCACCUCUCUGGGCAACCUGUGCCAGUGUCUCACCACCCUCAUGGUGCAGAACUUCUUCCUAACGUCCAGUCUGAAUCGUCCCAUCUCUAGUUUUAAUCCAUUCCCUCUAGUCCUACCGUUACGCGACAUCCUAAAAAGUCCCUCCCCAGCUUUCUUGUAGGCCCCCUUAAGAUACUGGUAGGCCACUAGAAGGUCUCCUUGGAGCCUUCUUUUCUCCAGACUGAACAACCCCAGCUCUCUCGGUCUGUCCUCAUAGGAGAGGUGCUCCAGCCCUCUGAUCAUCCUCGUGGCCCUUCUCUGGACACGUUCCAGCACGUCCAUAUCUUUCUUGUAGUAGGGGAUCCAGAACUGGACACAGUACUCCAGGUGGGGUCUCACGAGAGUGGAGUAGAGGGGGAGAAUCACCUCCCUCGACCUGCUGGCCACGCUUCUCCUGAUGCAGCCCAGGAUACUAUUGGCUUUCUAUGUCUGCAUAUAUUUCUCUAAAGGUAAUCUUUUCAGAGCAGGCUAAUAUGCAGCUUGUCAGAUUUUUCUUCAUAUCAGGAGAGUAUGCAUGUAUGAAAAUGAAAACGCUACUAAAAAAACAGCCAUGGGGAAUGUGCAAACAACGUGAAUGUAAACGCUGACAUUGCAAGGAUGCUGCUUCCCUUUAGUGUUAUCCUCACUGCCCAUAAAAAGCCAUAAAAAUAUGGCAUUCAUGCUCCUUAUUAGCAGGAGAGGUGCUCUGCACUUGCUUUCCUAAAGAAUUAAGGGUCACAGCUAAGAACAAAUGUUAUUUUCUGAAAUGCAUUUAAUGUAAAAAUCUUGGCAGACGAAAGAAAACACUAGUAGAGAAUCCAAGUAAAGAAAAACCUUUGUGUGCAUGUCUGUUUAGAAAAUAAAAACUGAACCCCCAUUUCCAUGAGUUGACUUAAAGUAGAAUAGAUCUAAAGAAUUCAAGAAAACCAUUACCACUAGUAAAGUUGCAAAUUAUGACUCUCAUUUCCAGCCUUUCUGCCUUGGCCAGGGGGUCAGAUGCAGUUACAUAAAACCUUUCCUUCUGUAAGGAAUUAACAUAGGAGAGACUUUUAUCUUCAUAGAAUAUGGAAUUUUUAUGAAUACUCAUUUUUCUGUGUGGCAUUUUUUAAGGCUUUGUGCAUCUUGUCUCUUAGUUUUUCAUGUCCUGGUAUCAAGACAGCUGACAAAUUGCUGGGGACUUACGAGCACUGUGUUAUGACAUGUUUCCCACAGCUGUGGACAUCCUUUCCCUCUCCCGUCCCGCCGCGGCCACGGCAUGGCCCGAAGCAAUGUGUCAGCCUUACGGUGGCCACUGAGGUAUACCAGAAGAGGAGAAGGGUCCACCCCAUCUGCAAGGAGAGCUGCUGGUUUUGUGCGCUCUCUUGAAAAGACUAAUUCAGUGCUGUGAAAUCAAAACCUGUUGAGAGACUGUUCCCAGGCAAGCAGCUGCUGCGUUAGAUUUUCAUCAUUGCGGGGCUGAUGAGAUUUACUUUGGGCUGCUUUUUUUUAUUUAUUUUUUUUUCCAUUGGCACUGCGCCCCGGUGAUAAGAAUUCUUGUCUUUCUGCUAGUUAUAUUUUAACCUACCUGUUGGUUUUCUUAUUUGAGAAGUUAAAUGGAGCAGCCUUUGGGGGGAGGUCUGAAGUAACUUCGCAGCACUACUUCAAAGGCACUUCUGCUGUUGAACACCCAAUACACUGACGGCUAUAACACUUUAACGCAUGUAAUUGCUUUAUGUAAUGUAGAAAAAUUAAUUAACAGAUGUUCUGGGUACUUUACUGACUUAAAGCAGACUCUUUCUGCAGAUUCAUAAAUGUGCGGUGGAACUCAGCACUUUCUUGCAGGCCAGAGCUGGGAUGCUGGCGGUGGCUGUGUUAGCUGGCGCUGGGAAACUAUUUUUAGACCUUCAUCUAUUUCGGUAAUUGAAGCUUUUCCCACUUUCAGCUAAUGCUGUCUCUGUUGUGUGACUCGGCUGGCGACCAGCUUGGUGGAGGGGACAGAGCCGCGGGAGGCGCGGGGGGAGAGAUAAAGAGCCGCUCUCAGGUUUGGGGAUUUAGCGGCCGUCAAAACAAAGAAUUAUAGUAAAUGCAUGUGUAGGUGGAGGAUUCGUUAAGUAACUCUGAAAGAGCUGGAUCGCGUUCACUUACAAGGCUGAAACUGCAUUAAUGUUAUUAAC